rnacentral:misc_RNA from 1 species
AUCUUUAUCAACCAUGUCAAAGAAGGUCUGAAGUCGAGUAUCAAAACUUUGAUCUGCAACUUGGUCCCAGAACUCUUUGAGUUGUGCUUUGUUAAUGGAAUCAGUUGUGAUGUUUCUCCUUCGAGCAAGCGCAUCAUAUAGCUCUCCAGCAAAUUCCUUAGACUCCUUAUUCAUACCUAUGCAUUCUCCAAAUUUGGCCCGAGGAAGCAAGCCAGUAGUUGAAGCAGUAAUCUCAUCGAACCGCUUCUCGACGGCGGCCCAUCCAGCGCCGCCGUCAGUUUUGCUGAUGAACUUAAGACCUUUAAGAGCAUGAGCAGCAGCUGAUUUAUUCCUGUCGAACCUUCCAGUAGGAAUUGGGCGCUUAUUUAAGGAAGCCAAUCGCUUGAGCUCUUGAGACACUUGCCGGAUUCUCGAAGAAGCAUUUCGUACAAGUGAAGCUCCCAAGGUAGAUUUCUUCUCCAAACCUUUAGCCAAUAAAGCCAACUCCGGAUCUUCCACGUCAGCACCGCCGGCAGUUUUCACACUGUGGACAGCCACAGAGUCUUCACGAACAUCGAGAGUGAUUUCCACAUAAGCAUCGUCAUUGGACUUGGCGCCGGCUCCUGCACUAGUUCCGAUGUCAGUAGAUUCCGGUAUAUUAAACCUCGCGCUCUUUUUUCCUCCUCGUUUGUUCAGCGGUCCGCUUAAAGGACCACUGUACGACGCUCUAUCAUUCCCUAUAACCUCCGUAUCCGAGUGAUGAUGGUGAUGGUGUGGGUGAUGAUUUUCCGAAUUUUGCAUCGCUACAAUAGUUUCUUCGUGGAAAAAUGAAAUGAAUGAAUG